UAUCAUACGAGAUGUUGGUGCGGUUCAAUGAGAAAGAAGUUGUUGAAUAAGUUUUUGACCCUACUUUUUGAUUGAGCCGUGCCAAUAUCACGUGUCACUAU
rfam:Solanum lycopersicum cultivar Heinz 1706 chromosome 7, whole genome shotgun sequence.